UACAGAGGGUGCGAGCGUUGUCCGGAAUCAUUGGGCGUAAAGAGCGUGUAGGCGGUCCGGUCAGUCGGCUGUGAAAGUCCAGGGCUCAACCCUGGGAUGCCGGUCGAUACUGCCGGACUAGAGUUCGGAAGAGGCGAGUGGAAUUCCCGGUGUAGCGGUGAAAUGCGCAGAUAUCGGGAGGAACACCUAUGGCGAAGGCAGCUCGCUGGGACGUUACUGACGCUGAGACGCGAAAGCGUGGGGAGCAAACAGG
rnacentral:rRNA from 1 species